rnacentral:rRNA from 1 species
UAAUACAUAGGGGGCGAGCGUUGUCCGGAAUGACUGGGCGUAAAGGGUGCGUAGGUGGUUUAAUAAGUUAGAAGUGUAAUACCCAGGGCUUAACUCGGGUGCUGCUUCUAAAACUGUUAGGCUUGAGUGUAGUAGAGGAAAGCGGAAUUCAAUGUGUAGCGGUGGAAUGCGUAGAUAUAUUGAAGAACAUCAGUGGCGAAGGCGGCUUUCUGGACUAUAACUGACACUGAGGCACGAAAGCGUGGGGAGCAAACAGGAUUAGAUACCCUGGUAGUCCACGCCGUAAACGAUGGAUACUAGAUGCAGGAGGUAUUCACUCCUUUUGUGUCGCAGCUAACGCAAUAAGUAUCCCGCCUGGGGAGUACGAUCGCAAGAUUAAAACUCAAAGGAAUUGACGGGGACCCGCACAAGCAGCGGAGCAUGUGGUUUAAUUCGAAGCAACGCGAAAAACCUUACCAAGACUUGACAUCAAUAUGCCGAUCAUAGAAAUAUGGUUUCUCUUCGGAGCGUAUUGACAGGUGGUGCAUGGUUGUCGUCAGCUCGUGUCGUGAGAUGUUAGGUCAAGUCCUGCAACGAGCGCAACCCUUAUAACUAGUUGCCAAUAUUAAGUUAGGAACUCUAGUUAGACUGCCGUGGUCAACACGGAGGAAGGUGGGGAUGACGUCAAAUCAUCAUGCCCCUUACGUCUUGGGCUACACACGUGCUACAAUGGCUAUUACAAAGAGUUGCAAGCUGGUGACAGUAAGCUAAUCUCAAAAAAAUAGUCUCAGUUCGGAUUGUGGGCUGCAACCCGCCCACAUGAAGUCGGAGUUGCUAGUAAUCCCGAAUCAGAAUGUCGGGGUGAAUGCGUUCCCGGGUCUUGUACACACCGCCCGUCACGCCAUGGGAGUUGGUAGUACCCAAAGUCGGUGAGCUAACCGCAAGGAAGCAGCCGCCUAAGGUAAGAUCAAUGACUGGGGUGAAGUCGUAACAAGGUAGCAGUACCGGAAGGUGC